UUCAACUUUUUUUAAAAUAAAUUUAGCUAAAAAUAUGAAGCAAUUAUAUUUCGAUUUUGAAACCUCAGGUACCAAUUAUCAGGUCCUUUUGCUAGCUAGCUAGGGACGGUUAAUAAUUAAUAAAAGUUUAUACGAAACUUACCUAAGCAAUGGAUUUUUUGAAUUGGCUCAAAUUUCAAAAUUUUAAUUUUACUAUCCAAUUUUUUAAAUUGUUUGAUUUAAAUCAGUUGACGAUAUUUUGACUUUAAAAUUUAAUCUAAUUACUUAUUGAAUUUAUAGUUGUGAGAAUUAUACGAAGUAUACUAACUAGACCUUAAAGAUAAAC
rnacentral:lncRNA from 1 species